UACAGAGGUCCCGAGCGUUGUUCGGAUUCACUGGGCGUAAAGGGUGCGUAGGUGGUGAGGUAAGUCGGAUGUGAAAGCUCCAAGCUCAACUUGGAAAUGGCAUUGGAAACUACCUUGCUAGAGGGUUUGAGGGGGACUGGAAUACUUGGUGUAGCAGUGAAUGCGUAGAUAUCAAGUGGAACACCAGUGGCGAAGGCGAGUCCCUGGAAAACUCCUGACAC
rnacentral:rRNA from 1 species